UACGUAGGGUGCGAGCGUUAAUCGGAAUUACUGGGCGUAAAGCGUGCGCAGGCGGUUCGUUAAGUCAGAUGUGAAAGCCCCGGGCUCAACCUGGGAACUGCAUUUGAAACUGGCGGGCUUGAGUGCGGCAGAGGGGGGUGGAAUUCCGCGUGUAGCAGUGAAAUGCGUAGAGAUCGGCAGGAACACCCAGGGGGAAACCAGCCGACUGGGCAUCUGCUGACGCUGAGGUGCGAGAGCGUGGGGAGCGAACCGG
rnacentral:rRNA from 1 species